CUUGCAAUCACUAGGUCUAUAAAUUACACCUCUCUGGGCUGGAAGGGGUAUCUGUGUUGAGAACCUGUUAGAGCGAUAGAUUAGUACAAGAUUCCACAAUGAAAUACUCGGCUAAACCAGUGAAGACAAAUGAGCCAACAAAGGUUAGAAGACAGAGUCUGAUUGAACUAAGAAAAAGUAAAAUCCAGGCGUUUCGACUGUUUCUUCACACUCUAAGGAUGAGACGGUCAUCUCAAAGGUCGUUCAUCUGAGCAAUAUGAUCCGUUGUGACAUCCCUGAUGGUAAAAUGAGAAGAUUCCUGGAAAUUCGAGCCCCUUUAGUCUAUUAAGACCAUGCACUUCAAUUAAAACAGAUUUUCUUUUUAUUUAAAUAAAUGUUUAGAAUUUUA